AUAUUAUUCAGCCUUGAAAAAGAAUAUGCACUAUCUGACAACAUGGAUGAACUUUGAGGAUGUUAUGUUGAGUGAAAUAAGCCAGUCUCAGAAGGACAAACACUGCAGGAAAUCCAUUUAUAUGAGAUAUCUAAAAGGGCCAAAUUCAUAGACUCAAAGAGUGGAAGGAUGGUUGCUAGGGUCUGGGAGAGGAGGAAAGGGAGAAUUUCUAAUCAACAGGUAUAAAGUUUCAGUUAAGCCAGACGAAUGAGUGCUAGAGAUCUCCUGUACAACUUUGUCCCUAUAGUCAACAAUACUGUAGUAUGCUCUUAAAAAUGUGUUGAGAGAGUAGAUCUCCUGUUCCACAAUAGAAAUUAAAAAGAAAAUAAAGUGAGUGGGCAUUUCAAGUCUGGAGUGGAGGGACUGGAGGGCAGGAGCGGCGGAACCGGGCCCAGGGCUGCCUCUCGCUCAGCUGCGUAUCCUUACGCUGUCCACUAAGCCUCGCAGCAGAGACGACAGGAAGCUUGUGCCGAGAAAAACCGAAGGGUUUUAUUUUAAGACCUGCUGUGAGGAAGGGCCUUUGGAGCAAAUUCAACCACUCGACCACAUUCCUGAAGGUCAGACAGCAGCUACAUGAUCUGCUGGAUUUGGGGAAACAUUUAAGAAAGAAGAAGAAGGGAAAAAAUCGGAUCUGUCCUGAGGGAUCAUAAAGACUGGGAAAGACGCAAGAAAGUUCUGGGAGGAAGGAAUUAAAGGGAGAUGAAAACUUGCUUCUUCAGCUGCUGCUGAAAUUGUUCUUAAAUCAAGCAGUGGUUUGCAGACAGGGCCACGUAACUGAUUAUAAAUGUUGGAAUUUAUUUCAAUAAGCCCUGUCUUCCUCAGCAGCUGUUCUACUUUGCAGCAAACCAGCAAACAGACGGAGGAGCUGGAGGCAGCCUGUCUGCUGUCUUCACCUCAGAGGAGUCUGAAUUGUUUUGUGAGAACUUCCCGGAAAGGAGAGUGAGUCCAGAACAUCCCCCCACCAUGGCCACGUCUGAUUCCAUAGCACCUUCAUGUGAGUUAUUGACUUCAUCUGUGUCAGGGAUGAACUCUCUUCUCAGAUCUUUCGAGAGGAGACUUGCUGAUCUUAUGAGAUGCAGAGGUGGAGGCAAGUAAAUAUUUGUUGAACCCCAGGCUUGAAGCCCUCCCUCGAAAGGGUCUACUGCAAU
rnacentral:lncRNA from 1 species